AACGCGAAGAACCUUACCUGGUCUUGACAUCCUGAGAACUUUCUAGAAAUAGAUUGGUGCCUUCGGGAACUCAGUGACAGGUGCUGCAUGGCUGUCGUCAGCUCGUGUCGUGAGAUGUUGGGUUAAGUCCCGUAACGAGCGCAACCCCUAUCCUUAUUUGCCAGCACAUCAUGGUGGGAACUAUAAGGAGACUGCCGGUGAUAAACCGGAGGAAGGCGGGGACGACGUCAAGUCAUCAUGGCCCUUACGACCAGGGCUACACACGUGCUACAAUGGGAAGGACAAAGAGCCGCGAAGCCGCGAGGUGUAGCUAAUCUCAGAAACCUUUUCGUAGUCCGGAUUGGAGUCUGCAACUCGACUCCAUGAAGUCGGAAUCGCUAGUAAUCGUAGAUCAGAAUGCUACGGUGAAUACGUUCCCGGGUC
rnacentral:rRNA from 1 species